rnacentral:rRNA from 1 species
UACGAGGGGUCCUAGCGUUGUUCGGAAUCAUUGGGCGUAAAGGGUGUGUAAGUCAGGUGUGAAAGCCCCGGGCUCAACCCGGGAAGUGCAUCUGAUACUGCGUAGCUUGAGUACCGAAGAGGAUAGUGGAAUUCCAGGUGUAGUGGUGAAAUACGUAGAUAUCUGGAGGAACACCGGUGGCGAAGGCGGCUAUCUGGUCGAGUACUGACACUGAGACACGAAAGCAUGGGGAUCAAACAGG